rnacentral:rRNA from 1 species
GGGUUGUGAGGUUAAGCGACUAAGCGUACACGGUGGAUGCCCUGGCAGUCAGAGGCGAUGAAGGACGUGCUAAUCUGCGAAAAGCGUCGGUAAGGUGAUAUGAACCGUUACAGCCGGCGAUGUCCGAAUGGGGAAACCCAGUGUGAUUCGUCACACUAUCGUUAACUGAAUACAUAGGUUAACGAGGCGAACCGGGGGAACUGAAACAUCUAAGUACCCCGAGGAAAAGAAAUCAACCGAGAUUCCCCCAGUAGCGGCGAGCGAACGGGGAGCAGCCCAGAGUCUGAAUCAGCUUGUGUGUUAGUGGAACGGUCUGGAAAGUCCGACGGUACAGGGUGAUAGUCCCGUACACCAAAAUGCACAGGCUGUGAACUCGAAGAGUAGGGCGGGACACGUGGUAUCCUGUCUGAAUAUGGGGGGACCAUCCUCCAAGGCUAAAUACUCCUGACUGACCGAUAGUGAACCAGUACCGUGAGGGAAAGGCGAAAAGAACCCCGGCGAGGGGAGUGAAAAAGAACCUGAAACCGUGUACGUACAAGCAGUGGGAGCACCUUCGGGUGUGACUGCGUACCUUUUGUAUAAUGGGUCAGCGACUUAUAUUCUGUAGCAAGGUUAACCGUAUAGGGGAGCCGCAGGGAAACCGAGUCUUAACUGGGCGUUAAGUUGCAGGGUAUAGACCCGAAACCCGGUGAUCUAGCCAUGGGCAGGUUGAAGGUUGGGUAACACUAACUGGAGGACCGAACCGACUAAUGUUGAAAAAUUAGCGGAUGACUUGUGGCUGGGGGUGAAAGGCCAAUCAAACCGGGAGAUAGCUGGUUCUCCCCGAAAGCUAUUUAGGUAGCGCCUCGUGAACUCAUCUUCGGGGGUAGAGCACUGUUUCGGCUAGGGGGUCAUCCCGACUUACCAACCCGAUGCAAACUACGAAUACCGAAGAAUGUUAUCACGGGAGACACACGGCGGGUGCUAACGUCCGUCGUGAAGAGGGAAACAACCCAGACCGCCAGCUAAGGUCCCAAAGUCAUGGUUAAGUGGGAAACGAUGUGGGAAGGCCCAGACAGCCAGGAUGUUGGCUUAGAAGCAGCCAUCAUUUAAAGAAAGCGUAAUAGCUCACUGGUCGAGUCGGCCUGCGCGGAAGAUGUAACGGGGCUAAACCAUGCACCGAAGCUGCGGCAGCGACACUAUGUGUUGUUGGGUAGGGGAGCGUUCUGUAAGCCUGUGAAGGUGGCCUGUGAGGGCUGCUGGAGGUAUCAGAAGUGCGAAUGCUGACAUAAGUAACGAUAAAGCGGGUGAAAAGCCCGCUCGCCGGAAGACCAAGGGUUCCUGUCCAACGUUAAUCGGGGCAGGGUGAGUCGACCCCUAAGGCGAGGCCGAAAGGCGUAGUCGAUGGGAAACAGGUUAAUAUUCCUGUACUUGGUGUUACUGCGAAGGGGGGACGGAGAAGGCUAUGUCAUCCGGGCGACGGUUGUCCCGGUUUAAGCAUGUAGGCUGGUUAUCCAGGCAAAUCCGGAUAAUCAAGGCUGAGGUGUGAUGACGAGGUACCACGGUACUGAAGUGACAGAUGCCCUGCUUCCAGGAAAAGCCUCUAAGCAUCAGGUAACAUCAAAUCGUACCCCAAACCGACACAGGUGGUCAGGUAGAGAAUACCAAGGCGCUUGAGAGAACUCGGGUGAAGGAACUAGGCAAAAUGGUGCCGUAACUUCGGGAGAAGGCACGCUGGUGUGUAGGUGAAGUCCCUGCGGACGGAGCUGAGACCAGUCGAAGAUACCAGCUGGCUGCAACUGUUUAUUAAAAACACAGCACUGUGCAAACACGAAAGUGGACGUAUACGGUGUGACGCCUGCCCGGUGCCGGAAGGUUAAUUGAUGGGGUUAUCCGUAAGGAGAAGCUCUUGAUCGAAGCCCCGGUAAACGGCGGCCGUAACUAUAACGGUCCUAAGGUAGCGAAAUUCCUUGUCGGGUAAGUUCCGACCUGCACGAAUGGCGUAAUGAUGGCCAGGCUGUCUCCACCCGAGACUCAGUGAAAUUGAACUCGCUGUGAAGAUGCAGUGUACCCGCGGCAAGACGGAAAGACCCCGUGAACCUUUACUAUAGCUUGACACUGAACAUUGAGCCUUGAUGUGUAGGAUAGGUGGGAGGCUUUGAAGCGUGGACGCCAGUCUGCGUGGAGCCAACCUUGAAAUACCACCCUUUAAUGUUUGAUGUUCUAACGUUGGCCCCUUAUCGGGGUUGCGGACAGUGUCUGGUGGGUAGUUUGACUGGGGCGGUCUCCUCCCAAAGCGUAACGGAGGAGCACGAAGGUUAGCUAAUCCUGGUCGGACAUCAGGAGGUUAGUGCAAUGGCAUAAGCUAGCUUGACUGCGAGCGUGACGGCGCGAGCAGGUGCGAAAGCAGGUCAUAGUGAUCCGGUGGUUCUGAAUGGAAGGGCCAUCGCUCAACGGAUAAAAGGUACUCCGGGGAUAACAGGCUGAUACCGCCCAAGAGUUCAUAUCGACGGCGGUGUUUGGCACCUCGAUGUCGGCUCAUCACAUCCUGGGGCUGAAGUAGGUCCCAAGGGUAUGGCUGUUCGCCAUUUAAAGUGGUACGCGAGCUGGGUUUAGAACGUCGUGAGACAGUUCGGUCCCUAUCUGCCGUGGGCGCUGGAGAAUUGAGGGGGGCUGCUCCUAGUACGAGAGGACCGGAGUGGACGCAUCACUGGUGUUCGGGUUGUCAUGCCAAUGGCACUGCCCGGUAGCUAAAUGCGGAAGAGAUAAGUGCUGAAAGCAUCUAAGCACGAAACUUGCCCCGAGAUGAGUUCUCCCUGAGACUAUAAGUCUCCUGAAGGAACGUUGAAGACGACGACGUUGAUAGGCCGGGUGUGUAAGCGCAGCGAUGCGUUGAGCUAACCGGUACUAAUGAACCGUGAGGCUUAACCUUACAACGCCGAAG